GGGUGAGUAACACGUGGGUAACCUGCCCAUCAGAAGGGGAUAACACUUGGAAACAGGUACUAAUACCGUAUAAUGCUUUUUCUCGCAUGAGAGCAAGCUGAAAGGCGUUUUGCGUCACUGAUGGAUGGACCCGCGGUGCAUUAGCUAGUUGGUGAGGUAACGGCUCACCAAGGCCACGAUGCAUAGCCGACCUGAGAGGGUGAUCGGCCACACUGGUACUGAGACACGGCCCAGACUCCUACGGGAGGCAGCAGUAGGGAAUCUUCGGCAAUGGACGAAAGUCUGACCGAGCAACGCCGCGUGAGUGAAGAAGGUUUUCGGAUCGUAAAAC
rnacentral:rRNA from 1 species